UACAGAGGGUGCAAGCGUUGCUCGGAAUUAUUGGGCGUAAAGGGCAGGUAGGUGGUCUCAUUUGUCUGGGGUGAAAUCCUUGGGCUUAACCCAAGAAGUGCCCCAGAAGCGGUGAGACUGGAGUCCUGGAGAGGGUCGUGGAAUUCCCGGUGUAGCGGUGAAAUGCGUAGAGAUCGGGAGGAACACCAGAGGCGAAGGCGGCGACCUGGACAGGUACUGACACUCAACUGCGAAAGCGUGAGGAG
rnacentral:rRNA from 1 species